rnacentral:lncRNA from 1 species
CUUCCAGCUAAAUUACCAGGUCUGGCUCAGACCUCAGCCAUCAUAUAAAGGCGCCCUGGCACGGUGGCUCCCAGUCCCUGGUGGAUAACCCUGCAAUGAGGCUCCUCCUGGCGCUGCUGCUUCUGGCUGCCCUGUGUGCUGCCCUGGCCAGCCCCGGCGGCAUCCUGGUCAUGAAGUCCUGCUCCCCGACGUGCCCCAACAGCACCGUGUCCUCCGAUGGCCGCGCCCUCUCGGUGUCCUGCUGCCAGGGCAGCCAGUGCAACCGAAGCUCAGCCUCAGGCCUGGGGGGCAGCCCCGGGGCCCUGUGGACCAGCACCGCAGCCAGCCUGCUGUGGGCCCUGCUCCGGGUGCCCUGCUGAGGC